GAGUAAUAUAUCGGAACGUGCCCAGUCGUGGGGGAGUAACGUAGCGAAAGCUACGCUAAUACCGCAUACUAUCUAUGGAUGAAAGCGGGGGAGUCGCAAGACCUCGCGCGAUUGGAGCGGCCGAUAUCAGAUUAGGUAGUUGGUGAGGUAAAGGCUCACCAAGCCGACGAUCUGUAGCUGGUCUGAGAGGACGACCAGCCACACUGGGACUGAGACACGGCCCAGACUCCUACGGGAGGCAGCAGUGGGGAAUUUUGGACAAUGGGCGCAAGCCUGAUCCAGCAAUGCCGCCGUGCAGGAUGAAGGCCUCGGUUGUAACUGCUUUGUACGGAACGAAACGGUGAGCCCUAAUACAGUUUGCUAAUGACGGUACCGUAAGAAUAAGCACCGGCUAACUACGUG
rnacentral:rRNA from 1 species